rnacentral:lncRNA from 1 species
GAUAAGUUCAGAGUCUUGCUGCCAAGCCGAAAAGAAAACAAAGUUAUUAAGCUAAUUUCAAACACAUCAGAUAUCAGAGUCAGGAGAAACAGAGAAUAUCAGUUUAAGUUUAAAAAUCUAAAACAAAUAAAGCUAGAGAAACCACCAGCAGAGAAGAGAUUGUCCCAGGCCUUAAAUGCCUAACAACACCUAUUAAUGAUUUCCUCUAAUUCUUCGCCUAUGGAUUCAAUGUCUCACAUUCACCUUGACCAUUUUCCAUACCCUCUUACACAUUUUUGCUCAACACCAACUUUCUUCACUCAGGUCUUUCAGAAGAAACAAGAGAGCUCAUAAGCUACAUGACUAGAUAUUUGGGAAGUAUUUCUGAAUAUGCCAAAUGAUAAAUUACCUUUUCUAUUUUUCAAUGCUUUUUUUGUAAUCAUCAUAAAAUUAUUUUUUAAUUUUAAAUAUAUUUUAAAAUAUUAAGGAGUCAACAUGGAAUACCACCAAUAACCAAGAACUCACUCUUCAAUUUCACUAGAGAGAAUCUGAAUCAGUUGUUUUUCAGGGUUUUUUUUCUUUUUAACAUAACCUGGUCAAAAUAAUACCCUAGAUCAGUAAUUUUAAGUUCUUUCUUAUAUUUCUAAGGUCUUAUGGAGCUGUUUCAGCAGUUCACUUGGUCAUUUCUCCCACUUUGGUCAGAGAAGCUCAACUUUAAUAUUUUAUAUAUUAGGAUACUGUAUAAGAUUUAAUUUGGAAAAAAAGCAUUCUGCUUUAACAAUAUCAAAUAUAAACAAAAAUAACAAAUCUCAAAAUUUUGCAAACCACUGCAUUAAAAUAAGAACUAAAUACCUUUGUACUAAGUGCACAAUGUUAAAAGAAGAAAUGAUAUGACAAAUGGCGUACAGAUACAGUUUUCAAUAUCAUGUGUAUAUUUAGGCUUAAAUUGUAAAAUCUGCAUUUUAUAUACUGUCUUUUGCUUCAUAAGUACAGAAUAAUAAACACAGGCCUGGUGCGGUAGCUCAUGCC